CGUUCGGGCCGCGCCUCCGACGUCGACCGCCUGAGCCGCCUCCUCGCGUCUCCGCCACGGUUCCCCUUCCCUUUCCCCUCGUCUCGAAUCGCGUUCGGUUUUCCUCCUCGCCGGCUUUGCUUCCUGUGCUCGUGAUGUUAUAUUCGGCCCCGUCUCCGCGCAGCCUCGGGGAGCGAUCGAUCGGGGAUUCCGUCGAUUUUGCUCUGACUUUUUGUGUGACCCGAGGGCCGAAGCAAGGCCAGUCUCUCGUGCUCGAUCGGUCAUGUCAGAUCGGCCCCCCUGCACGUCUUCCUCCGUCGGUGAUUUCAGAUUUGAAUUGAACGCCUCUCGGUCGCCCGUGUUCGGCCUGUUCCCGAUCCAGCGCUCUCGCCGUCAUAGUUCCGUCGUCGUCGGUUAUAAUACGAGGUGGAUUCAUUGGACGCCCUCGUGGAUUCUUAUUUCACCGGCUGAAUCCCGCUUCUGCUGCUAUGUGUCUGUGCUCUCAUCCUAGAUGCAGCAGAGGCGAGGCAAGCCGCAAGGGACGCUCGCUAGUUCUGAAGGGACGAUGAUAGAAAAGAAACGGUGGAGGUUUGCUUCCUGUUAUAUAUGGUUAUAAUUUGAUUGAUUGAUCAUGGUUCAGCGGUUACUCACCAACCUGCAGCUUGGAUGUGCAUUUGAUUUAUUUCUUACGUUUGCGCAGCACAGUUAAUCGACAGCACAUCGGAUUUAGAUUCGUUCGUUGAUGGUUGUCCAGAAAUUGGGUGUGUAUUCAAUUCCUUCCUCUCCACCGUUCAAUUUUAGCCUCCAACAAUUAUGUUUUGGAUUUGGUGUUCAUUUUCCAGAAAUUGGGAUUACUCGGCUUACCGGGAGCGACUUAUUAUCUUCUUGUGCUUGGAUGAUCAACUCUCUUUGUUCAGUUUAUUCUUCUCCACAGUUCAAUUAUUCUCUCAACAAUUCUGAUUGCCUCAGCAUGGCGGUUCUUCUUCCGUGGCUCAAAUUUUCGGAGCUUUCUUACUCAAUAUUACUUCAAAGUUCAAACUCAGCAGAUAUUACUUUUCCCCUGUCCUGGUCAUUCUCAGCUCUUGCAGAUAGUGUCUUGCGAAGGAUAUAUAAUUGGAACCUCUGUUGUCUACCUGACCUUCCCAGUCUUAUCAUUUACACCUUCUCAUUGUUUGAUCCUAGUUUUCCCCUUAUCAUUUACCUCCUCUUAUUUAUAGAAAGGUAUCUUUGUUCGUUGCAGGUCUUAGUGUACGAACUCAAGGCCACCAAGCUGAUGCUGAGUUUGCAGUUCUUCUAAACCUACCAUCUUCUCAAUUCCUUAGCUUAGAUAAGUAAUAAGAUCUCUUACUAGGCAAUAUUUUAAAUUCAGAUUUAGCUGCUAAGGUGCAAGAUUGAAGCUUCAAACUAGUGGCACAUCCUACAAACAGAAAAAACUUAAAUCUCGUAUCCUCUUAUUUUUAUUUCAUUUACAUGUUAUUGUCUUGAUUUAGGUUUUUUGCUUCUGCCCUCCAUAUGUCAGUUGCAGAUUUGGCGUAAUACAAUGCUUGUAGUGAGUCGGAAUCUGUUAUAAUCAUCUGGUUUGCUAUCUAUCUCCUUGUGGUUUGAUUGGUUAUCUGUACUCUUGAUCCCUCGGUUUUCGUGUUAAGGUGUCAGGUCAGUGUCUUGGCUGCUGGUUGAUUUGUGUUGGCCGCCAUGGGUUGGUUGCAGGACUGGAGAUCUGGUAUGCAGAGGUUCUUGGGGUGUUGUAUUUUGAAGGGGAUUUGAGGCAGGUCAGAUCAGAUUUGAAUGGCUAUUUCCCAUGUGGUCGGCAUCAAGCAUAUGAUGUGGAUUCUGAUUGUAGCAGCUUAUCUCGCUUUUGGUGUGUGUUUGUGAUCCUUUGGAUGCAACAGAAGAAGGGUAGUGGUUUUGUAGAGUCAAGCGUGGAGGAUGUUUUGGUGUUGAACUGAAGUUUUGGAUCGUUCAUCAACCUGGAACUUUCUUGGUCGCUCUCCAGAAAUUGGAAUAAUAUGGCUUAGAAGUUUGGAACCGGUGUUGUUAUCAUCCGUCAACCAUAGCUGGCCUUCCUAGAUGAGACGGGCUUUCUUGUUCCUGCCCAUUGUUUGAUCCAUGCUUGAGCUAUUUAUAAAAGUACCAUUUCCCUCUAACUGAAAAUUUAUAGAAAGGUCUCUUGCGCAUUGCAGGUUGUAGUUGACGAACUCAAGUCCAACCUGAUGAUGAAUUUGUUUGCAGACAUUCGAAAUCUAUGAGUAUUGUUACAGUUCACCAUAACUUACAUAACUUACAAAUUAUAUUAAGGCAAUAUUUGUAAUACGGAUUCAUUUGCAAGGUGGAUGAGUCUAAGGACAAUCCGAAGCUUUCAACUAAUGGCACAUCCUACAACCCAAAAAGACUCUUGCCCUCCUAUUUGUUCAUUUCAUUUAGCUACUUGGCCAUGUCUUUGAUAUAGGUUUUGCUCCUGCCCUUGUGGUUGCAGAUUUUUCUUUAGCCAGUAAUGACAUGGAAUCUGAUAAAUAUUUUGGUUUGUGAUCUAGCUCUCCAUGGUUCGAUUUGUUACCUGUACUUUUGAUCCCUGUGUUCUUCUAGUCUCUGCCAGUGUGGGUUGCAGGAUAUAACAUUUCGGAUUUUGUGGAUUGGUUAUGGAGUCAGGUCAGUUUCUUGAAAUGAAGCUCCCUGUGGUGUAUGAACAGUAUGUUGGAGGGGACUUGAGGCAGGUCAGUUUCCCAUGUUUGGUCACACUGGUCUCGGCGACGUCAGAGUUGGAUGGCUAUACCUUAAGUACUUUGAUUUAUCUUCGUCUGAUGGCUCAACAUGAGUACAGUUAUCCCUCAGCAUGAGGUGGGUUCUCGUUGUUACUGCUGAUAUCUGCUUGUGGGGUAUGUGUCUGUUCUCCUUCAGAUGCAGGAGGGCGACGGUUGUGGAGUGAUGAAUCAGAGGGUGGAAGUUUGAUUUACUGUUCAUGGUUUAUGUGGAUUGGUUAUGACUCAAUGCCUUAUGAUAAGAUAGCAACUUGUGGGCUGAAGUUUUUGUUUUGGAUUGAAGUUGGAUUGAUCGUUCAACCAUGGGAUGGGGAUUAGAGAAUUUGCGAUGUGUGUUUGAAUAAUUGAUCCUCAUUUAUUUUCUUUGUUUGCACAGUUGAAUUAGACUUACAACAUCUCUGAUAUCGAUUGUUGGUUCUCCAGCUAUUGGGCUUAUGGGGCUUUCCGGAAGGUGCUUUGUUUUGACUGUUGGUUUACACAGGGUUUCUUCUGUUGACUCCAUCUUUCCUGAUUUGCUUUGAACAUUGUACUUCCUAGACAUGGUUUUCAUUAUGUGUCCCUGCAGAUUGACAUUGAUGAGAGAUAAUAUAGUUUGCCACCUGGAACUGGUGUUGUUGCCUAACUGAUCUCUCCCAGCCAAGCAGGCUUUACCCUAUCCCGUCACUGUUUGAUGCAUCAUUUAGCUGUUUAUAGGCAGCUUCGUUGCCCCAAAGCAGAAGUUCAAACGAAGGUUUCUUGGUCCCUUUCAGGUCCUAACUGACGAUUUAAGUCCAACCUGAUGAUGAAUAUGUUUGAAGAUCUUCUAAACCCUGCACAUUUCCAAUUCAUCGUAAUUUUUUUGACAUAUAAUUUAUCUUAUGGAGACAAAAUUUAAAUAUUCAGAUUGAUUUGGUGGAUAUACAAGGUUCAAAGGUUGCUCUGGAGAAUCAAUCUAGACGGGACGUCCUACAACCGAAAAAACCCAGUGCUCUCAGUUUUGAUCUCUUGAAGAAGCUUCAAUUGUCUUACCUGCCUUUUGCGUGUAGCAUUGAUUGUGGUUUUUGCUUCUGCCUUCUUGUGGUUGCAGAUUGUUUAGCCCAAGCCAUGCUGGUAGCCAUCAAAAUCUGUCGCAUUUUUGGUUUCUGAUCCUCUCCUGACUUUGUUAGUUGUGUAAUGUUGUUGGCUUCAUAUACCCAGAAAGAGCUUAGGGAUUAUCGCUUUAUACCAAAACAAACAACAGAGAGUUGAAGCUUAUGAACUGGAAGCUUGAACAAACAGUUUGCUAUGGACACUCUACUCCUCAUCAUGUCUUUGAUUAGUUUCAUCUCCACUGAAUAUGAUUCCGAUUUGUUGGUAUGGAAUUGAUUUUCAGAA